GGAUGUGAGGGUGAUCUGGCUGUGAUCGCCGCCUGGGUUGAUUCGGCCGAUCUGGCUGGCUAGGCAGGUGUCCCCUUGCUCCCUCACCGCUCCAUAGGCAUUGCUCCCACAGCUGCUAAGCGAGGGGACCACCUCUCAUAUUGUCUUCUGCCUAAUUUCUACCUCAAAGGAAAGAGAAAGUAGGAGUUAAAGAAAAGGCAGAAGUGAAAUUCAAUAGUCAGACAGUCUGGUGCCACACCCUAGGCCUGAUAGUUAAAGAUCGACCCUUGACCUA
rnacentral:sRNA from 1 species